GAUGAACGCUGGCGGUGUGCCUAAUACAUGCAAGUCGAGCGAACAGACGAGGAGCUUACUCCUCUGACGUUAGCGGCGGACGGGUGAGUAACACGUGGAUAACCUACCUAUAAGACUGGGAUAACUUCGGGAAACCGGAGCUAAUACCGGAUAACAUGUUGAACCGCAUGGUUCAACAGUGAAAGACGGUCUUGCUGUCACUUAUAGAUGGAUCCGCGUCGCAUUAGCUAGUUGGUAAGGUAACGGCUUACCAAGGCAACGAUGCGUAGCCGACCUGAGAGGGUGAUCGGCCACACUGGAACUGAGACACGGUCCAGACUCCUACGGGAGGCAGCAGUAGGGAAUCUUCCGCAAUGGGCGAAAGCCUGACGGAGCAACGCCGCGUGAGUGAAGAAGGUCUUUGGAUCGUAAAACUCUGUUAUUAGGGAAGAACAAAUGUGUAAGUAACUAUGCACGUCUUGACGGUACCUAAUCAGAAAGUCACGGCUAACUACGUG
rnacentral:rRNA from 1 species